UACGAAGGGGGCUAGCGUUGCUCGGAAUCACUGGGCGUAAAGCGCACGUAGGCGGAUUGUUUAAGUCAGGGGUGAAAUCCUGGAGCUCAACUCCAGAACUGCCUUGAUACUGACGGUCUUGAGUUCGGGAGAGGUGAGUGGAACUGCGAGUGUAGAGGUGAAAUUCGUAGAUAUUCGCAAGAACACCAGUGGCGAAGGCGGCUCACUGGCCCGGUACUGACGCUGAGGUGCGAAAGCGUGGGGAGCAAACAGGGAUAAGAAAC
rnacentral:rRNA from 1 species